CCAGGCUUAAGGAUGAUGUUGCAAGCCGCACAUGCAUCCGACCUCUAGGAGUCAUCCACACGAGCCCACGAAUCUCGAUCAGAAGUCCUGCUUCAGGAAAUCAGCACAGUAUGCUAGUACUGCGCUGAUUCUUCUUUGAUGGUUGAUCAGGUGCCUCCUUCUUCUUGAUUUGGACUCUUCCAAAGAUAGAAAGUAAAAGGAGAAGUUUUAGAUCUGAGACACU
rnacentral:lncRNA from 1 species